AGCUCGGACAUUCGGGAGGGACUCAGAUUAGAACCGCUGCUCCUCCACAUUGAGAGGAGCCAGUCGAGGAACUUGGAACCGUUAAAAAAAUAACGAUGCCAUCGGAAUUGUUUAUAAAAUUUGUUUUCGAUUCCGAUCAUCGGUUCCAAACACGCAAGUUUUGUUUUCCAGUGUGGCCGCCGUAUUUCCGGAAGUGCUUGCCGCGCGCUUGUUCAGUUGCAGCUAUGGAGCACGGUAAGCGGCGCUCAAAAGUGUGGCUUUAUUUCACCCGAAAAAAGCCUGGGUCGGCAGAGUGCAACACAUGUGACAAAAUGAUAUCUUGCCCGGGAGGAUGCACUACGCCUGCAUGAUAUACAAAUUAAGGAGUGUAGCGUGUUUGACGUGCUGCGCAGGUCCACCGUCUCGUCCUCCUCGGGCAACCCUGCGCUAACCAACGUUAGUAACGUUACCUCAGACUUGCCUGGCUGAGUGAAGAAGACUUCAGGAAGGCAGAGGACUUCAUCAACUUGAUGAGAGUUCUUUACACUUCCACACUUUACACUUCCACACUUGCGUUUCAAUGGAAAAGAACCCCACAUGUGGUCAGAUCCUGCCAAUUCUCCAAAAGCUAGAGAUGCACAUUACUGUUGUUGAGGGAGACACAGUAUUUGUAUCCAAUCUCAAGAAGCAAGUUUGGGCAAACAUUAAAUAAUUCUAUUCCUGUGACCUUAUUGUAUAUUUAAAUAACAUUUUUAUUUUACAGAGCGAGGACAUCAGGAACUUUCUUGAAGUGGCAACAGCAUUAGACCCACGCUUCAAACAAAAUAUGGAUUGUGAUGAUGACUCUGUCGGUGUCUGGGACCGAAUCAAGAGACAGAUGAUGACAGAUUCUGAGCACAAGCAGUCAACAGAGGAUGAUUGUGGAGAAGGUAGUGAUGUCAGAACAAUGUGGUCAGAGAAAAGGCAUGAUAAUGAUGAAGUGGAGGAGGAAGAUGAGAAUCAACAACCUCCAAGAAAACAUCCAAGAAAGUCUCCAUUGGAGGAGCUUUUUGCCGAUGACGAUGCAGAAAAGAGGUCAUCACAAAGGAGGACCAUGUCCAUCCAGGACCAUGCAGAGAAGGAGAUGCAGAUGUAUAAGGAGACACCACCAACCUUUACGUCUGAUGACCCUGCUGACUGGUGGUGGAACCAGCGCAUGACAUAUCCUUUAAUGUCAAACAUAGCCUUUUCGUAUUUGUGUGUUCAGGCCUCCUCUACACUUAGUGAAUGAGUUUUCUCAACUGCCGUUGACACAAUCUGUGCUGAACGUUCACGGAAACAGCCUGAGGCAGAUAUGCUCGUAUUUCUGAACAAGAACUGUUUUUAUACAUGUACAGAGAGUCCAGACCAGGUUGCAUAUAUAAAUCUGUUUUUUGGUCUGGUGCAGAGGCAUUCCUAAUUUUCU
rnacentral:lncRNA from 1 species